rnacentral:rRNA from 1 species
CGAAGGGGGCUAGCGUUGCUCGGAAUUACUGGGCGUAAAGCGCACGUAGGCGGAUCAUUAAGUCGGGGGUGAAAUCCUGGAGCUCAACUCCAGAACUGCCUUCGAUACUGGCGAUCUUGAGUCCGGGAGAGGUGAGUGGAACUCCGAGUGUAGAGGUGAAAUUCGUAGAUAUUCGGAAGAACACCAGUGGCGAAGGCGGCUCACUGGCCCGGUACUGACGCUGAGGUGCGAAGGCGUGGGGAGCAAACAGGAUUAGAUACCCUGGUAGUCCACGCCGUAAACGAUGGGGGCUAGCCGUUGGACAGCUUGCUGUUCAGUGGCGCAGCUAACGCAUUAAGCCCCCCGCCUGGGGAGUACGGUCGCAAGAUUA